UCCGUAGGUGACCUGCGGAGGGAUCAUUACACAAAUAUGAAGGCGGGCUGGAACCUCUCGGGGUUACAGCCUUGCUGAAUUAUUCACCCUUGUCUUUUGCGUACUUCUUGUUUCCUUGGUGGGUUCGCCCACCACUAGGACAAACAUAAACCUUUUGUAAUUGCAAUCAGCGUCAGUAACAAAUUAAUAAUUACAACUUUCAACAACGGAUCUCUUGGUUCUGGCAUCGAUGAAGAACGCAGCGAAAUGCGAUAAGUAGUGUGAAUUGCAGAAUUCAGUGAAUCAUCGAAUCUUUGAACGCACAUUGCGCCCUUUGGUAUUCCAAAGGGCAUGCCUGUUCGAGCGUCAUUUGUACCCUCAAGCUUUGCUUGGUGUUGGGCGUCUUGUCUCUAGCUUUGCUGGAGACUCGCCUUAAAGUAAUUGGCAGCCGGCCUACUGGUUUCGGAGCGCAGCACAAGUCGCACUCUCUAUCAGCAAAGGUCUAGCAUCCAUUAAGCCUUUUUUUCAACUUUUGACCUCGGAUCAGG
rnacentral:rRNA from 1 species